CCUCCAGCUUUGUUCAUUUUGCUCAGGGUUGCUUUGGCUCUUCAGGGUCUUGUGUGGUUGCAUAUAAAUUUUAAGGUUUAAAAACUCUCUUUCU